UACGUAGGUGGCAAGCGUUGUCCGGAAUUACUGGGCGUAAAGUGUGCGCAGGCGGCCGCGCAAGUCGAGUGUGAAAGCCCCGAGCUUAACUUGGGAAUUGCGCUCGAAACUACGUGGCUGGAGUGUGGCAGAGGAAGGUGGAAUUCCAGGUGUAGCGGUGAAAUGCGUAGAGAUCUGGAGGAACACCGAUGGCGAAGGCAGCCUUCUGGGCCAACACUGACGCUCAUGCACGAAAGCGUGGGGAGCAAACAGG
rnacentral:rRNA from 1 species